AUGAACGCUGGCGGUAUGCUUAACACAUGCAAGUCGAACGGUCUCUUCGGAGAUAGUGGCGGACGGGUGAGUAACGCGUGAGAAUCUGGCUCUAGGUCUGGGACAACAGUUGGAAGCGACUGCUAAUACCGGAUGUGCCGAAAGGUGAAAGGCUUGCUGCCUAGAGAUGAGCUCGCGUCUGAUUAGCUAGUAGGUGUGGUAAAGCGCACCUAGGCGACGAUCAGUAGCUGGUCUGAGAGGAUGAUCAGCCACACUGGGACUGAGACACGGCCCAGACUCCUACGGGAGGCAGCAGUGGGGAAUUUUCCGCAAUGGGCGAAAGCCUGACGGAGCAAUACCGCGUGAGGGAGGAAGGCUCUUGGGUUGUAAACCUCUUUUCUCAAGGAAUAAAAAAAUGAAGGUACUUGAGGAAUCAGCAUCGGCUAACUCCGUGCCAGCAGCCGCGGUAAUACGGAGGAUGCAAGCGUUAUCCGGAAUGAUUGGGCGUAAAGCGUCCGCAGGUGGCCCUGUAAGUCUGCCUGUUAAAGAGUGAGGCUUAACCUCAUAAAAGCAGUGGAAACUACAGAGCUAGAGUGCGUUCGGGGCAGAAGGAAUUCCUGGUGUAGCGGUGAAAUGCGUAGAGAUCAGGAAGAACACCGGUGGCGAAGGCGUUCUGCUAGGCCGCAACUGACACUGAGGGACGAAAGCUAGGGGAGCGAAUGGGAUUAGAUACCCCAGUAGUCCUAGCCGUAAACGAUGGAUACUAGGCGUUGCGAGUAUCGACCCUCGCAGUGCCGGAGCCAACGCGUUAAGUAUCCCGCCUGGGGAGUACGCACGCAAGUGUGAAACUCAAAGGAAUUGACGGGGGCCCGCACAAGCGGUGGAGUAUGUGGUUUAAUUCGAUGCAACGCGAAGAACCUUACCAAGACUUGACAUGUCGCGAACUCUUCUGAAGGAAGAGGUGCCUUCGGGAGCGCGAACACAGGUGGUGCAUGGCUGUCGUCAGCUCGUGUCGUGAGAUGUUGGGUUAAGUCCCGCAACGAGCGCAACCCUCGUUUUUAGUUGCCAGCAUUAAGUUGGGCACUCUAGAGAGACUGCCGGUGACAAACCGGAGGAAGGUGGGGAUGACGUCAAGUCAGCAUGCCCCUUACGUCUUGGGCUACACACGUACUACAAUGCGUCGAACAGAGGGCAGCAAGCUAGCGAUAGCAAGCAAAUCCCGGAAAUCGGCGCUCAGUUCAGAUCGCAGGCUGCAACUCGCCUGCGUGAAGGAGGAAUCGCUAGUAAUUGCAGGUCAGCAUACUGCACGUGAAUUCGUUCCCGGGCCUUGUACACACCGCCCGUCACACCAUGGAAGCUGGUCACGCCCGAAGUCAUUACCCCCAACUUUUCGGAGAGGGGGAUGCCUAAGGUAGGACUGGUGACUGGGGUG
rnacentral:rRNA from 1 species